rnacentral:rRNA from 1 species
CGAAAGUUAGAGGUUCGAAGGCGAUCAGAUACCGCCCUAGUUCUAACCAUAAACGAUGCCAACCAGCGAUCCGCCUGAGUUCCUCAAAUGACUCGGCGGGCAGCUUCCGGGAAACCAAAGUGUUUGGGUUCCGGGGGAAGUAUGGUUGCAAAGCUGAAACUUAAAGGAAUUGACGGAAGGGCACCACCAGGAGUGGAGCCUGCGGCUUAAUUUGACUCAACACGGGAAAACUUACCCGGCCCGGACACUGGAAGGAUUGACAGAUUAAGAGCUCUUUCUUGAUUCAGUGGGUGGUGGUGCAUGGCCAUUCUUAGUUGGUGGAGCGAUUUGUCUGGUUAAUUCCGAUAACGAACGAGACUCUAGCCUACUAAAUAGGCGUUCCGAUCCUUUAUGUCGGACGUUCUUCUUAGAGGGACAGGCGGCUUUUAGCCGCACGAGACAGAGCAAUAACAGGUCUGUGAUGCCCUUAGAUGUCCGGGGCCGCACGCGCGCUACACUGAAGGAAUCAGCGUGUGCUUUCCCUGUCUGGUAGGACUGGGUAACCCGUUAAACCUCCUUCGUGAUAGGGAUAGGGGCUUGUAAUUCUUCCCCUUGAACGAGGAAUUCCCAGUAAGCACGAGUCAUAAGCUCGUGUUGAUUACGUCCCUGCCCUUUGUACACACCGCCCGUCGCUACUACCGAUUGAAUGAUUUAGUGAGGUCUUCGGACUGGC